GCGCGAAAAACUUUACAAUGCGGGAAACCGUGAUAAGGGGACACCGAGUGCCAGCAUCAUAUGCUGGCUGUCCAGAUGUGUAAAAUACAUCUGUUAGCAAGGGCCGGGCAAGACCGGUGCCAGCCGCCGCGGUAACACCGGCGGCCCGAGUGGUGAUCGUGAUUAUUGGGUCUAAAGGGUCCGUAGCCGGUUUGGUCAGUCCUCCGGGAAAUCUGAUAGCUCAACUAUUAGGCUUUCGGGGGAGUACUGCCAGACUUGGAACCGGGAGAGGUAAGAGGUACUACAGGGGUAGGAGUGAAAUCUUGUAAUCCCUGUGGGACCACCUGUGGCGAAGGCGUCUUACCAGAACGGGUUCGACGGUGAGGGACGAAAGCUGGGGGCACGAACCGGAUUAGAUACCCGGGUAGUCCCAGCCGUAAACGAUGCUCGCUAGGUGUCAGACAUGGCGCGACCGUGUCUGGUGCCGCAGGGAAGCCGUGAAGCGAGCCACCUGGGAAGUACGGCCGCAAGGCUGAAACUUAAAGGAAUUGGCGGGGGAGCACAACAACGGGUGGAGCCUGCGGUUU
rnacentral:rRNA from 1 species